AGAAUUAUAAUUUAAUAAAAAGACAAACUGUCACUUAUGUCCACAGAAGCACAACCUUCUUAAUUCUA
rnacentral:tRNA from 1 species